rnacentral:rRNA from 1 species
GAUGAACGCUGGCGGCGUGCCUAAUACAUGCAAGUCGAGCGAACAGACGAGGAGCUUGCUCCUCUGACGUUAGCGGCGGACGGGUGAGUAACACGUGGAUAACCUACCUAUAAGACUGGGAUAACUUCGGGAAACCGGAGCUAAUACCGGAUAAUAUAUUGAACCGCAUGGUUCAAUAGUGAAAGACGGUUUUGCUGUCACUUAUAGAUGGAUCCGCGCCGCAUUAGCUAGUUGGUAAGGUAACGGCUUACCAAGGCAACGAUGCGUAGCCGACCUGAGAGGGUGAUCGGCCACACUGGGACUGAGACACGGUCCAGACUCCUACGGGAGGCAUCAGUAGGGAAUCUUCCGCAAUGGGCGAAAGCCUGACGGAGCAACGCCGCGUGAGUGAUGAAGGUCUUCGGAUCGUAAAACUCUGUUAUUAGGGAAGAACAAAUGUGUAAGUAACUAUGCACGUCUUGACGGUACCUAAUCAGAAAGCCACGGCUAACUACGUG